GUCUCUGGUCUAGUUUGAAGAUAUUGGAAAUUAGAAUGAUUCUAGAGACAUGGACACAAAAAUGUUCCUCUCUUUAUUGCUGUCAUGUCGAGGCAUCAACCAGUCUGACACAUUCAUCUCACUUUAUGAGAAUGAGCUGGUUUCAUGCUGCAAACCUUAUUCAUGUAGCCACAAUUAUCCAUAAAUUAAUAAAACCUGACUGGUUAUUACUUGGAGAAAGAGGGAAAUGGGGGGGUGUCGGGCGGAUACAGUGAGACGGAAUAUGAAGGGCUGUACAGUGAACAAUCUCCCGGAUAAUUAACAGCAAGAUAAACAAAACAUAAAUUUGGAUAUUGCAUUUAUUUAGACUACCACUCAAAUAUGCGUGAACCACGUUAUUUUAAUUAAAAGAUAAAUCUAUAUGACAUGCUGCUUCCCAGUUAAUUAUUCAGUGCUGUACAAUAAAAACAAAACCCAUUAAAUAUGCCACGCACUCUAUUUCUCCAUUAACAGUAAAAAGCGCUCAUCCUGGGGACAACAUUUCAAAUUCAGCUGCUGUUUUCCUUUUCCCCACUUUUCUUUUACUUGUAUUGCUGUUUUUUCUUUUUUGCAUUUACAUUGCUCCUCAGACCUUACACUUACAAAAACAUUUGACAUACUGCUCCUGAAAUGCAUACGGUAUCCAUCACAAAUGGAAUGCUUACAGAAGCUCUAUUUUUUUACACAUUCACCAUAGUAGUUAGUUGGGAGUGUGUUAAUGCUCCUCCUAGGACAAAUUAUCAGAACUCUUUUGAUCUUCUAAUUUUUCAAGGACCAAUAACCGGACAUAAUUCUAAUAUGUCCAACUAUGAUGAAUAACCAAAUAUCUGCAAAAUAAAUGAAACUCCCAUCAGCCUGUGUUACUUUAGAAAUGCUACCACGCUAACUAAGAUAUUAACUAGUACAGUGAAACUUCGUCAACAUUCCCUUUUUAAAAGCAACACGUUAGCAUUGCCAUUGUAUGUUUGCGGCAUUGAAGAGCUGAUUUGUUUUCAGUCUUCCAUGGUUCGAACCAUGCCAAAGUCUCUCUGAGCCAGACACCUAACCCCUAAGUACUUGCCGGGUGCCAUUACGGCAGCACACUGCUCCCACUGUGUUGACACUUUCUUUCUUCUUUUUCUUCUUUCUUCCUACCACCAACAUUUAUUUUAUGUACUCCAGACUCCAGAUGUAAAUGUCUGUCGACUUUCCGAUGAGCAGGACCUGGAGAGAAAACGAGACUCUGCAGCAGACGCUCAGGGGCAAGGCCGACGAGCGGAGCCGCGCCGCGCCGACGAGGACAACUACGCGAAACCUGCUCACUGCGAGAGAAUAAAUACAACAUAUUCC
ensembl:lncRNA